ACUCCUACGGGAGGCAGCAGUGGGGAAUAUUGCACAAUGGGGGAAACCCUGAUGCAGCGACGCCGCGUGAGCGAAGAAGUAUUUCGGUAUGUAAAGCUCUAUCAGCAGGGAAGAAAAUGACGGUACCUGACUAAGAAGCCCCGGCUAACUACGUGCCAGCAGCCGCGGUAAU
rnacentral:rRNA from 1 species